rnacentral:rRNA from 1 species
GACGAACGCUGGCGGCGUGCCUAAUACAUGCAAGUCGAGCGAAUCAAUAGGAGCUUGCUCCUGUUGGUUAGCGGCGGACGGGUGAGUAACACGUGGGCAACCUGCUUGUAAGACUGGGAUAACUUCGGGAAACCGGAGCUAAUACCGGAUAAUCCUUUUCCACUCAUGUGGGAAAGCUGAAAGUCGGUUUCGGCUGACACUUACAGAUGGGCCCGCGGCGCAUUAGCUAGUUGGUGAGGUAACGGCUCACCAAGGCGACGAUGCGUAGCCGACCUGUGAGGGUGAUCGGCCACACUGGGACUGAGACACGGCCCAGACUCCUACGGGAGGCAGCAGUAGGGAAUCUUCCGCAAUGGACGAAAGUCUGACGGAGCAACGCCGCGUGAGCGAUGAAGGCCUUCGGGUCGUAAAGCUCUGUUGUUAGGGAAGAAUAAGUAUCGGAGUAACUGCCGGUACCUUGACGGUACCUAACCAGAAAGCCACGGCUAACUACGUGCCAGCAGCCGCCGUAA